AGUGAACGCUGGCGGUAGGCCUAACACAUGCAAGUCGAACGGCAGCACAGUAGGAGCUUGCUCUUACGGGUGGCGAGUGGCGGACGGGUGAGGAAUACAUCGGAAUCUACUUUUUCGUGGGGGAUAACGUAGGGAAACUUACGCUAAUACCGCAUACGACCUACGGGUGAAAGCAGGGGAUCUUCGGACCUUGCGCGAUUGAAUGAGCCGAUGUCGGAUUAGCUAGUUGGCGGGGUAAAGGCCCACCAAGGCGACGAUCCGUAGCUGUCUGAGAGGAUGAUCAGCCACACUGGAACUGAGACACGGUCCAGACUCCUACGGGAGGCAGCAGUGGGGAAUAUUGGACAAUGGGCGCAAGCCUGAUCCAGCCAUACCGCGUGGGUGAAGAAGGCCUUCGGGUUGUAAAGCCCUUUUGUUGGGAAAGAAAAGCAGCAGGUUAAUACCCCGCUGUUCUGACGGUACCCAAAGAAUAAGCACCGGCUAACUUCGUG
rnacentral:rRNA from 1 species